GCUUUGUUAGUGUUUCAAUGGUC
rnacentral:siRNA from 1 species